rnacentral:tRNA from 1 species
UGCGGGAUAGAGCAGUUUGGAAGCUCGUCGGGUUCAUGCCCCGGAGGUCGGAGGUUCAAAUCCUUCUCCCGCUAUUA